GGGCGGUUAGUUCAGUUGGCUAGAACGCUUGCUCGACACGCAAGAGGUCAGAGGUCCGAGUCCUCUACCGCCCA
rnacentral:tRNA from 1 species